rnacentral:lncRNA from 1 species
CCACCAAUUUUAUUAUAUUACAUCAAUUUAAAUAAGAAAAAGAAGAAGAAGCUAAAACUAUAACUAGCGUUAUGAUCAGAAUUUAUAUCGGAAUGUACUUUUAACCUGUUUAGUUUUAGUACUUGGUAUUUUGUUAAUGAAAGUAUGAAACCUUUCCCCCAACUUCCUUUCUUCAUUGAGUCCUUUUCAGAAUUUUGGCACAAGCUUAGGAGAGGCCUAUUGGAUGAAGAUUGGGCCCUGGCCCCGGUACACCGGCCCAAUCGGAAGACGGCACGUUCUUUUUCCUUGCUUGUAGGUCAAACAAACAAAUUAGCUCCUUUUGAUAUUUGAACUAUGUACAUGAUCUCUCGCUUCAUCAAAGACGUGCCAUCUUGGAUUUCAAUGAUCUCACCUCAGAAUCAUCAAGGAUUUUGUCAUUCGAGUCUCACUCACUCCAUUGAAUAAAUAAUACAACGAGCCGCCCCCGUUUUGCACGACGGUCACGUAUAUUGCAUGAUUAUUUCCCUU